rnacentral:tRNA from 2 species
GGAGGGAUCGCAUAGGCUGGUCUAGUGCGCGGCACUCGAAAUGCCGUAGGGGGAAACUCCUCGAGGGUUCGAAUCCCUCUCCCUCCG